rnacentral:rRNA from 1 species
UGGCGGACGGGUGAGUAACGCGUAGGGAUCUAUCCUUGGGUGGGGGACAACGGCUGGAAACGGCUGCUAAUACCGCAUGAUAACUGAGGUUUAAAGGCGCAAGUCGCCUGGGGAGGAGCCUGCGUACGAUUAGCUAGUUGGUGGGGUAAAGGCCUACCAAGGCUGUGAUCGUUAGCUGGUCUGAGAGGAUGAUCAGCCACAUUGGGACUGAGACACGGCCCCG